UACGUAGGUGGCAAGCGUUGUCCGGAUUUAUUGGGUUUAAAGGGUGCGUAGGCGGUCUAUUAAGUCAGUGCUGAAAUAUCCCGGCUUAACCGGGAGGGUGGCAUUGAUACUGAUGGACUUGAGUAAAGUUGAGGUUGGCGGAUGACGGAUGUAGCUGGUGAAAUGCUUAGAUAUCGUCAAGAACACCUAUUGCGAAGGCAGCUAACUAGCUAAACUG
rnacentral:rRNA from 1 species